GAUUUUGUAGUAUAAUGGAUAGUAUAAAAGAUUCCGAAUCUUUUGAUGCGGGUUCGAUUCCCGCCAAAAUCA
rnacentral:tRNA from 1 species